rnacentral:rRNA from 1 species
GACGAACCGUGCGAACGUUGUUCGGAAUCACUGGGCUUAAAGGGCGCGUAGGCGGCUUGGCAAGUGGAUGGUGAAAUCCCUCGGCUUAACCGAGGAACUGCCAUCCAGACUGCUUUGCUUGAGGCCGGGAGAGGUGAGUGGAAUUCCCAGUGUAGCGGUGAAAUGCGUAGAUAUUGGGAGGAACACCAGUGGCGAAGGCGGCUCACUGGACCGGUUCUGACGCUGAGGCGUGAAAGCGUGGGGAGCAAACGGG